UGGCCGUGUGUCUCUGCUUGCGACAGAGUAU
rnacentral:sRNA from 1 species